AUUCUGGAUAUUGAAAAGGACUAUUCGUUUGCUGAUAAGGUGCAGAGGCGCCAUAUUGGUUUCUUUGAAGUAAGAGCUGUUUCUUGUGGUGUGCUUUCGAGUUGUCGACUGUGUUUACCAGUCGACCUGCCGAGGAUAAAUUUGUGAAGGAAAAGGCUACCCCACGUGGAAGGUGUUGGCAGCGAGAUUAACGUGUUUUGAAGACCGGAUAACGCAUCUAAGUAGGCUACGAUAAGUUACAUAUUUGUAGUGGAGACGAAGGUAAGAGAGUUCUCUAGUUAAAGAAGAAAUAAGAGACUACUAUUUACUGUAUUAUAGGAUUAAAUAAAGUCAUAGCUUGCCCCGGCUUUUCUCUCAACUUCGUGAGAGUUUUUAUGCCGAAGCAAGUGUUUCAUACCGCG
rnacentral:lncRNA from 1 species